AAUAUCAUGCCCCUUAUGACCUGGGCUACACACGUGCUACAAUGGUUGGUACACGAGUUGCGAGUCGGUGACGGCGAGCUAAUCUCUUAAAGCCAAUCUCAGUUCGGAUUGUAGGCUGCAACUCGCCUACAUGAAGUCGGAAUCGCUAGUAAUCGCGGAUCAGCACGCCGCGGUGAAUACGUUCCCGGGCCUU
rnacentral:rRNA from 1 species